rnacentral:rRNA from 1 species
AGUGAACGCUGGCGGUAGGCCUAACACAUGCAAGUCGAACGGCAGCACAGUAAGAGCUUGCUCUUACGGGUGGCGAGUGGCGGACGGGUGAGGAAUACAUCGGAAUCUACUUUUUCGUGGGGGAUAACGUAGGGAAACUUACGCUAAUACCGCAUACGACCUACGGGUGAAAGCAGGGGAUCUUCGGACCUUGCGCGAUUGAAUGAGCCGAUGUCGGAUUAGCUAGUUGGCGGGGUAAAGGCCCACCAAGGCGACGAUCCGUAGCCGGUCUGAGAGGAUGAUCAGCCACACUGGAACUGAGACACGGUCCAGACUCCUACGGGAGGCAGCAGUGGGGAAUAUUGGACAAUGGGCGCAAGCCUGAUCCAGCCAUACCGCGUGGGUGAAGAAGGCCUUCGGGUUGUAAAGCCCUUUUGUUGGGAAAGAAAAGCAGCAGGUUAAUACCCCGCUGUUCUGACGGUACCCAAAGAAUAAGCACCGGCUAACUUCGU